CUUCCUCUUCCUCUUCCUCUUCUUCUUGUUAUUAUUUGUCCCAAGCGCUUUCUACCAGAAUGUUCCUCUGUGCAAGGCUUUCCCCCAUGUGAGUUUUUUCCCCGGUGAUGUGCCCCCUCUCCACCCUGUUCCAGCCCACCAUAUUCAGCAUCAUCCCCCAUAACCCCUGUGCUGCUGCACCCCCCACCUGCCCAUUGCCCCCACCAAAACUCUGAUGCCCCCACCCUUCCCUGCACCCCACACUCCCUCCUCUUGUGUUCUGGAUUUGUGCUGGAAAUGGUUUUGCUUAGGCAGGGCUGUGUUGGUUACCGCUGAGCAGCACUUACGCAGCACUGGGGGCUCUUAUGCUCCUCACACCACCCCACCUGUGAGCAGGCAGUGGGGACAGAGAGCUGGGAGGGGACACACCUGGGACAGUGGACCCCAGAGAUAUUCAGACCAUAUGAUGUCAUGUGCAGUAAUAAAACCAGGGGAGAGGUUGGCAGGGGGCCGCUGCUUAUGGGCUGCCUGGGCAUGGCGCAGCUGGUGGUGAGUGAUUGUUUUCAUUUGCAUCACUGCUCUUUCUCGGGUUUUCUUUUUCUUUUUCUUGUCUGUUUUUUUUUUUCUUUUCCUUACUGCCGGUUGGUGGUUGUUUUAAGUGUUUUUAUCUCAACCCAUGGCUUUUCUCACUCUUACUCCUCUGAUUCUCCCCCCCAUUCCACUGCAGGGAAGUGAGUGGUUGUGUGGUGCUUAGUUGCCAGCUGGGGUUUAGCCACAACAGAAGGUUAGUUAGCAAGCUCUGCCUGGCUAAUGCUUUAGGUGCUCCAUGUUACUCCUACCAUCUUGAUAGGCCAUCCUCAUCUUCAUUGCUACUUUAUGCUGCCUUUUGCAUGGUGUGAGUACUGCUGCUUAUGGAGCAAACAUACCUGUCUCCCACCCUCUGGGAAGUAACUCUGCCAAAGACAAAGAGUGAAACAGCCAUGGCACAAUCUACAGUGAUUCUGCCUCUCCAGGUGCCCAACAGGCCCCUCUUUCUUGCCUCUUACUCUGUCCAGCCAGGCUGGAAAGUGUGGUUGCUGGCCCCGAGGUCAUCACCUCUGCAUGGGACAGAGGUGGCCUGAAGGGCUUUGCACCAAGUAAUUUCUUUCGUCUUUGGGCAGCAGCGGUUCUGCCGCUGCUUCAGGCAGCUGCUUUCUUGAGGGCAAGGAGCUGGGACAACAACAGGCUGCUGCAGACUCUGAUCAGGCUGAGAGGCUGUUCCCUGGGGACCUAGUGCAGGGAAAGGGAGGUACUCACAAGCACUUGUCAAUCCCACUUAGUAGGAAAGUGACGAUUAAGAUGUUAGUGUAAGAGAUUUUUUAUAAUACUGAACUAAAUUACAUUUGGGAUCAUAUGUAUGAAUAUGAUUUAUGCAACCGCAGUGCUGCUCACAAGGCUUAGAGGAUUGUUCUCAGCCUGCUCCCCUGUAUAGACCCACCCAAGGCUGUUCUAAAACCCAGUCAAGUUAAUCACUGGAGACAGUUUCAACAAAAGAUAAUUGAUUAACCGGAAACAGGUGUAUAUUAAAAUACAAAGAAAUUAAUGUCUUAGAAUUGUUAACUUUAGUUCAGCCAUUAAUAGUACAUCUUGAAGUCUUUCUCAGAAUUGUAUAGGAUGGAUUAGAAGAAAGGAGCGAUUGUGAAGAUAGCGACCCAGAGAUGAGAUGACCCUGAAACUGAAACAGGAAUUGGAACCAGGAAAGAAUAAUUAAGCUGAGACCAGGAAUAGAAUGGAUUUUAAUAAAUGAUGAGUUUCGAGAACUAAAAAGUUGGAUGAAAAUUUGCAAAGGCUUCAGGCUUUAAGUAAUAGAUUAGGUAAUGGGACUUAAAUGGUAUAUAAGCUGUACGUCUUUUUGGAUGAUUCCACACACUGAGGUGAUGCCCCCACUCUGAGUUGUGAAUAAAGCAAACCUAGAGAUACCCACGUCUGGUCUAUUCAUCCUUUAAUAGAACUGGUGACCCAGAUGGGACACUAGGACACAAGAGGAAGGAAAGCCAGGAACUCCUCUGAAUGAACCCGUAACCAUUGCUCUCUUGCCGGCAAAUCUCAGGUGAGUUCACCUAAAGAGGCUUGGUGUGGGUGAUUCCAGACAAAAACUGGGAGUUCUCUUGUGUUUAAACUUGCUACAACUUACUGUUGAGUAAGUAUAAGAUUAUGGGAACUACACUCAGCAUUGAAAGGGGGACAACCCUUGCUGAGGUUUUAGAGAACUGGAAGAAGAUACCUCUGGCACAAACCUUGCAGAAGCAAAGGUUGGUUAAGUUGUGUCAGGAGGAAUGGCAAUUCCUGACUUGAAACAGGGGAGGAGGACCUAUGGGCGUGAGGCCUCCUGCAGGUAUCUUUAAGCCUCACAAACAAAAAUUCUUAAUAAUAAUUUUAGAGGAUACUGGCAGCCAGGAUAUUGAUUAUUGUUAUAUAUGGUAUAAUUGGGCCCAAGAGAGGCUUAAACCAUCUACGCCAGGAGUAAACUCACUUCCCUCUGCCCCUGAGGCUGAGGAAGCUAACCUUACUACUGUAGGAAUGUACCCUCUGAGAUUAGAGUACAUUCCUAAUCCAAGGGCAAGACCAGGGGCACCUCCAGAUGUUUCCUCAGUCACUGCAGUGAUGAGACAUGAGCCUUGGAACAAGGAGAUUUAAUUGCUUGGCAAAGUAAAAUGCCAAGACUGAGAAAAGAUGCUGAAAAAUGUACACAGUUACUACGUGGAAUAAUUACAGAUUAUUCUCCCAGCUGGAAUGAUACGCAAAGCUUAUUAAGAGAAUUGUUUCAAACAGAGGAAAGAGAAAAAUUUUUUCAAAAGGAUAGGGAAAUUACUCAGAGAGGUCAGGGAUUAAACCCAUGGCCUGAUCAAAAUCCUAAUUGGACUUUAGUAACUACAGCAGGUAUGCAAGCACACCGAACUGCUACACAGCAGUUAGUAGAAGCCGUUCGGCAAUGUGGUAAAAGAACUACAAAUUGGGCAAGAGUGUUAGAAUGCAGACAAAAAUUGGAUGAGCAUCCCAGUGAUUAUUGGACUAGAUUAAAAGCAACUUUGCUGAAAUACGGAGGAAUGACGAGAAAAUUUUCAAGAACCAUUGGCUGUAAGUGGUUUUGUAGAGCAAUCUUCCCCAGGUACAAAUAAAUACUUCAAAAAACAUAUGCCAGGAUGGCAAGGAGAGACUUUAACAAAAACACUUGGUAUUGCUGCUUUUGUCUAUGAUGGAACUGAUGAGGAAAGGCAGAAAAGUGAUGAUGAAAAGCAAAAAUUAGAGAAAAAGCAAGAGCGAAGGGAGAAGGAAAGAGAAAUUAGCCUAUUAGCAGCUGCCAUAGCCCAAAUCUCUAAUCUUAGAGGGAGAGGCAGAAACUUUCCCUGAGGAAAUUUUAGGGGUAGAGGGUGAGGUAAUCAAGGUAGAACUCCCAAUUCUACAUUACAGAUGCAGUUCAGUUCUAAUACUUUAGAAUGGUCUUAUUGCAGAAAUUUAGGUCACACACAGCAUGAGUGUCUGCUCCGUCUGAUCGCCCCUGAGCCAGGACCCACAUCUACAUAUCCACCUCGGCCGCAUUCACAGUGAAUGGAUGGAAAGCUUCUUCCUUACUGGAGAAUCACUGAAACGUCCAAUGAGGGAAUAGAGCUGAAGAACAGUGGAAUUUGCUAAGCAGGCUCUGAGCUGAUCUUGUGCCUUGAGGUGGGAGCUGCUUCUCUCGUGUCCCACACCAGUGUUGUGGGAAGCAUGUCUUGGUGGGAAGACGGAGGAGACCAGCAUCUCUGGCUGCAGGGUGGCCCUUGCUGUUCACAGAGGAAGAAUACCCACAGCUGAAAGGUAAUCUCUUGUUUUAGUGUAACAACAGGUGGUGAUGAGAAGCCCUCCUCAGGAGAGGACCAACCUAAGUAAUCUUUCUGCAGGACCUAACCAAAUGCCAUCGCCUGCUCCUCUGCUCUAAAUAAGCUGUGAACUACUAGGCUGUGAGGAGCAAGCCCAGCCCCUGAGGACUUGCCUGGCGUUCGCAGUGAGCCAAUGACUGAUGGAGGAAACAUCGCUCAGGUGUCCUAAUUCCUACUUUUGUGCUGCUUGCCCUCAACAGCACCAACUGUACCGUGAUUCAAAGAAGAGCAAGUUCCAUUGAAAUCAAAGAAAAUCCCUACUUGCUUCGUUUUUAGCACUGUUUGUAUAAUGUCUCCAGCCUUGCAGGGCACCAGGGUGUGCUUGGUUUACUGUUGUUGCUGUUGAUUUAAAACCUUCCUUAAAGCCUUCUAAAUUCUGGUAAGC